rnacentral:tRNA from 2 species
GUAGUCGUGGCCGAGUGGUUAAGGCGAUGGACAGGAAAUCCAUUGUGGUUUUCCCGCGCAGGUUCGAAUCCUGCCGACUACG